GAUGAACGCUGGCGGCGUGCCUAAUACAUGCAAGUCGAGCGAACAGACGAGGAGCUUGCUCCUCUGACGUUAGCGGCGGACGGGUGAGUAACACGUGGAUAACCUACCUAUAAGACUGGGAUAACUUCGGGAAACCGGAGCUAAUACCGGAUAAUAUAUUGAACCGCAUGGUUCAAUAGUGAAAGACGGUUUUGCUGUCACUAAUAGAUGGAUCCGCGCCGCAUUAGCUAGUUGGUAAGGUAAAGGCUUACCAAGGCAACGAUGCGUAGCCGACCUGAGAGGGUGAUCGGCCACACUGGAACUGAGACACGGUCCAGACUCCUACGGGAGGCAGCAGUAGGGAAUCUUCCGCAAUGGGCGAAAGCCUGACGUAGCAACGCCGCGUGAGUGAUGAAGGUCUUCGGAUCGUAAAACUCUGUUAUUAGGGAAGAACAAAUGUGUAAGUAACUAUGCACGUCUUGACGGUACCUAAUCAGAAAGCCACGGCUAACUACGUG
rnacentral:rRNA from 1 species